rnacentral:rRNA from 1 species
UCGGAAAGGGUUAGUGGCGCACGGGUGAGUAACACGUAGGUGACCUGCCCCGAAGUGGGGGAUAACUUCUCGAAAGAGAAGCUAAUACCGCAUAUGCUCAGCCAUUCAGUUGGUUGAGUAAAGCUCCGGCGCUUCGGGAGGGGCCUGCGUCCGAUUAGCUAGUUGGUGGGGUAAUGGCCUACCAAGGCGAUGAUCGGUAGCUGGUCUGAGAGGACGAUCAGCCACACUGGCACUGACACACGGGCCAGACUCCUACGGGAGGCAGCAGUGAGGAAUAUUGGUCAAUGGGCGAAAGCCUGAACCAGCAACGCCGCGUGAGGGAUGAAGGCCUUCGGGUCGUAAACCUCUUUUCUGGGAGAAGAGACAAGGACGGUAUCCCAGGAAUAAGUCUCGGCUAACUACGUGCCAGCAGCCGCGGUAAAACGUAGGAGGCAAGCGUUAUCCGGAUUUACUGGGCGUAAAGCGCACGCAGGCGGCUGCGUAAGUCGGACGUGAAAGCUCCUGGCUCAACUGGGAGAGGUCGUUCGAAACUGCGCGGCUUGAGGUUGGAAGAGGAGAGCGGAAUUCCCGGUGUAGUGGUGGAAUGCGUAGAUAUCGGGAGGAACACCAGUGGCGAAAGCGGCUCUCUGGUCCACACCUGACGCUCAGGUGCGAAAGCGUGGGUAGCGAACGGGAUUAGAUACCCCGGUAGUCCACGCUG